GCGCCUGUAGCUCAGUGGAUAGAGCACGGCUCUCCUAAAGCCGGUGUCGCUGGUUCGAAUCCAGUCAGGCGCACCA
rnacentral:tRNA from 2 species